GAUCCUCUGAGCCACCGUACACAUACACACUGUUGCAGGAAAACGCUCCGCAGUUGCGAAUGAGAAGAGCAUGUAUCCCUGAAAAUAAAUAAAUAAAUAAAUCAGCUGCUUUAACCCUGUUUGAUCAUGACAGAGUACUCACACGUAAAGUCCACCAAACUCGUCCUAAAAGGAUUAAACGAUAAAAAGGCUUUCUUUUUUGUAUUGCGUUCCACCAAAGUUUUAUCAUUUCUAAUUAAUGUUUACAGUUAAUUAACGUAAGUUACUGUUCUAAUUGAUGUGAGCAGCUGCGUAAUGUUGUGCCAAGAGUUAUGUCAAUAUCACGUUUUUUGACGCUAACGGUAAUAUUAAAUUGCCUCCACCUUCCAUAAUGUGCUGAAAGAAGAAAAAUAACAAAGACAAGAAGAGAAAACGAGAUGAUGAUGAAGACAGGAUGGAUAUCGUUGGUAUAUAUUGCCACUUUGCCCAAGGAGUUAUAAAAGGAGCAUGGUGGCCCAUAAUCAAGUGCAUUUAUAUAGUGAGGAUGAAGGCCCAGAUCCUCCAGAACAGUUUACUGCCAUCAGACUCUCAGACUCCAGG
ensembl:lncRNA